ensembl:lncRNA
AAAAAAAAAAAGAAUCCAGGUAAGAAAAGUAAAUAUAGACAUCGUGAGAUUAUCAGCGGAACGCGUUGUAGUUGCUGUGCCGACUGGACUACUUACGGAAGCGCACACGAUCACCAGCGACCAGGUGGUCGUCAUCCUGCGUCGCCUGCUGGAGUCCCGCAGAAACGGAUCUGGCGCAAAGAAGGCAGCGCUAUGAGGAGCAGGAGGAGGAGAAGAGCCGCACAGCAGGAGUGCUCAUCGUAUUCCCACUUUUAUCAAUGCGUCCGCACCAUCACUGGACUGGACUCAGAAGAAGCCGUCGGUGCAGCCCGCAGGACCCCCACACAGAAGAAGAACAAGAAGAAGAAGAAGAGAGAAGAGGAGGAGGAGGAGGAGGAGGAGGAGACAGUCCUGCCCGGAGUGCUGCUAGGAUGCAAGUGCACUGCGGAGGAGGAGAGAAGAGACGUCUGCCCUCCAGUUUAUUACCCCUAUACUCCUGCAGUCCUGCAUGAGCAGCUCUAACCGAAUACUGCUCAUGACCCCGACGCACAUGUGCGGGUUGACCGUAUCUUUACAACCUGCACCCCCGGAGGCUCGUGUUCCGCGCUCCCUCCUCGUACCGGACAGCCAGAGAGCUGCAGCGAAGCAUCCGAGGCCCGUCUCAGUGUCCCGUUGCUGACCCAACACUCGCAGGCACUAAACCCCGGCACCCGGGCCCCCCCUUCGUAAACGUACAGGACCAGACGGAGACGUACAGCCGGUGGUCAGAGCGUGCUUCGCCCUCAGAUCCCCUGCUGUCAUGGUGUACGUAGCACCGUGCUGUAAAACGCGUGACCCCCCCUCGAUGACCCCGACGUGGCUGUGGCCCAGAAGCUGAAAGGUUCAGCGGAUAAGAGCAACAAAGACAGGUUGUAUUUGCACAGGUGAUGUUGUAUACAGGUCAUUUUUACUGACACACUUGCUGCAAAAGGAUAUAAUUUCUCAACUCAUUUCAUCUAAUAUAUAUGUAUAUAUUUGAAAUGCAUAUCUUAGUCCAAGUGGUAAAUUUCUCUCAGAUGAGUGUGAUCAGUCAGAUGUUUCUACUGCAGGAUUAGGAUUUUAGAAACUAGUGUGUGUAUCAGAAAAACAAGACUUUUUUUAAUACAUCUUUUCAAGCACACCCCUACAAAGCCGUGCCCAUCCCAUUGAGUCAUUUCUAGUUGGGUAUGAGGGGAUCACUUUUGCAAAAAGCCUUUUUCAGAAUUACCCAUACAACCAAUAAUGUGUACUGGCUCCUCAGAAUAAUCA